rnacentral:rRNA from 1 species
GGCAGCAGUGGGGAAUUUUGGACAAUGGACGCAAGUCUGAUCCAGCCAUUCCGCGUGCAGGAUGAAGGCCCUCGGGUUGUAAACUGCUUUUGUACGGAACGAAAAGGUCUCUCCUAAUACGAGGGGCUCAUGACGGUACCGUAAGAAUAAGCACCGGCUAACUACGUGCCAGCAGCCGCGGUAAUACGUAGGGUGCAAGCGUUAAUCGGAAUUACUGGGCGUAAAGCGUGCGCAGGCGGUUAUGUAAGACAGAGGUGAAAUCCCCGGGCUCAACCUGGGAACUGCCUUUGUGACUGCAUAGCUAGAGUACAGUAGAGGGGGAUGGAAUUCCGCGUGUAGCAGUGAAAUGCGUAGAUAUGCGGAGGAACACCGAUGGCGAAGGCAAUCCCCUGGACCUGUACUGACGCUCAUGCACGAAAGCGUGGGGAGCAAACAGGAUUAGAUACCCUGGUAGUCCACGCCCUAAACGAUGUCAACUGGUUGUUGGGUCUUAACUGACUCAGUAACGAAGCUAACGCGUGAAGUUGACCGCCU